rnacentral:rRNA from 1 species
CAGGCCUAACACAUGCAAGUCGAGCGGACCAUUCCUUCGGGGAUGGUUAGCGGCGGACGGGUGAGUAACACGUAGGCAACCUGCCUGUAAGAUCGGGAUAACUACCGGAAACGGUAGCUAAGACCGGAUAGCUGGUUUCUCCGCAUGGGGGAAUCAUGAAACACGGGGCAACCUGUGGCUUACGGAUGGGCCUGCGGCGCAUUAGCUAGUUGGUGGGGUAACGGCCCACCAAGGCGACGAUGCGUAGCCGACCUGAGAGGGUGAUCGGCCACACUGGGACUGAGACACGGCCCAGACUCCUACGGGAGGCAGCAGUAGUGAAUCUUCCGCAAUGGGCGCAAGCCUGACGGAGCAACGCCGCGUGAGUGAUGAAGGUUUUCGGAUCGUAAAGCUCUGUUGCCAAGGAAGAACGCCUCGGAGAGUAACUGCUCUGAUGGUGACGGUACUUGAGAAGAAAGCCCCGGCUAACUACGUGCCAGCAGCCGCGGUAAUACGUAGGGGGCAAGCGUUGUCCGGAAUUAUUGGGCGUAAAGCGCGCGCAGGCGGUCUUUUAAGUUUGGUGUUUAAGCCCGGGGCUCAACCCCGGUUCGCACUGAAAACUGGGAGACUUGAGUGCAGGAGAGGAAAGCGGAAUUCCACGUGUAGCGGUGAAAUGCGUAGAGAUGUGGAGGAACACCAGUGGCGAAGGCGGCUUUCUGGACUGUAACUGACGCUGAGGCGCGAAAGCGUGGGGAGCAAACAGGAUUAGAU